ACACGAUCAUAAAUUUCAAAUCUAAUGAUUUUAUUUCAUGCAAAAGAAAUCCAUGGCUCUGAUACCACUGUUAGAUUUAUUUAGGUAUUUUAUAUGCUUGCAUGUAGAUUUUUUAAAAACAAAAUUCUAACGGAAGCAUAGAUUAAACAAUUUAAUCUAAUGCAUUUUAGAUCUAAUCUAAAGCAUAAAAUACUUGAAUCUAGUUCUUAUGCAUGAAAUAAAAUCACGUAUAUCAGAUCUAAAAAAUAAAAAAUCAAAGGAGGAAAUUGGUUACCUUAACUACUUUCCGUUGUCUUAC
rnacentral:lncRNA from 1 species